UUUUGAUGAUACAGAAAUAGCUUGCUUAUGUCUUCUUGUGAAUUCUUCGUUACGACGGUGUAGCAACGCUUGCCUUUCUCCCGCUGCCACAUGAUCCCUGUGUUUUACAGUAAAUGUAGAAGUGCUCUCCUCCUGUUCAGUUGCGACAUAUUCAGGGUUCUUCAUUGCUAUUGAAUCUUUGGAUGGUGUGUUGCGUUUCGAUUGACGGAUGGAAAGAAAUUUUUUGUAAUGCAAUACAAGAUAAUUUGUUGCUAGACUGGCCUGGAAUGUGAAGUCAAUAUGUAUCGGAUGAGCAUCCUGGCAUGUGAGAUGCAUGAAACAUGGUAUUUUUUUACUGGACAUCAAACAUAGGACUGAUGAGUAUCAAAUACCAUGUGUGAGAUUCAAGAAUUCAUUGGGAAGAACGAAAACGGGAGACAAGGAACAUACUUGACUGCUCCUUUGUUUUGGUUGGCGCUGUAGCUUGGAGAUUGCUUGGCGUGUACUUAGCUGGUGGCACUUUUUUCUCUGGGCGUUCAAUCUCUGAGAGCUGGGUAUUUAUAUUAGUAUAGAACCUUUGCCAGUCCGAGUUGGUGUAUGGUUCCCGAUUGGUUCCAUGUCCGAGUCCAAGUUGGUGUAUGUUUUCCAUGUCCGAGUCCAAGUUGGUGUAUGCUUCUGAUUGUAUUUUUCUC